rfam:Salmo salar isolate Sally breed double haploid chromosome ssa13, whole genome shotgun sequence.
UGCACUCACUACUGUAAGUCGCUCUGGAUAAAAGUAUCUGCUAAAUUACUAAAA